rnacentral:rRNA from 1 species
GAUGAACGCUGGCGGCGUGCCUAAUACAUGCAAGUCGAGCGAACAGACGAGGAGCUUGCUCCUCUGACGUUAGCGGCGGACGGGUGAGUAACACGUGGAUAACCUACCUAUAAGACUGGGAUAACUUCGGGAAACCGGAGCUAAUACCGGAUAAUAUAUUGAACCGCAUGGUUCAAUAGUGAAAGACGGUUUUGCUGUCACUUAUAGAUGGAUCCGCGCCGCAUUAGCUAGUUGGUAAGGUAACGGCUUACCAAGGCAACGAUGCGUAGCCGACCUGAGAGGGUGAUCGGCCACACUGGAACUGAGACACGGUCCAGACUCCUACGGGAGGAAGCAGUAGGGAAUAUUCCGCAAUGGGCGAAAGCCUGACGGAGCAACGCCGCGUGAGUGAUGAAGGUCUUCGGAUCGUAAAACUCUGUUAUUAGGGAAGAACAAAUGUGUAAGUAACUAUGCACGUCUUGACGGUACCUAAUCAGAAAGCCACGGCUAACUACGUG